GACGAACGCUGGCGGCGUGCCUAAUACAUGCAAGUCGAGCGCAGGAAAUCGACGGAACCCUUCGGGGGGAAGUCGACGGAAUGAGCGGCGGACGGGUAAGUAACACGUAAAGAACCUGCCCUCAGGUCUGGGAUAACCACGAGAAAUCGGGGCUAAUACCGGAUGGGUCAUCGGACCGCAUGGUCCGAGGAUGAAAGGCGCUUCGGCGUCGCCUGGGGAUGGCUUUGCGGUGCAUUGGCUAGUUGGUGGGGUAAUGGCCCACCAAGGCGACGAUGCAGAGCCGACCGGAGAGGGGGAUCGGCCACACUGGGACUGAGACACGGCCCAGACUCCUACGGGAGGCAGCAGUAGGGAAUCUUCCACAAUGGACGAAAGUCUGAUGGAGCAACGCCGCGUGAACGAUGAAGGCCUUCGGGUCGUAAAGUUCUGUUGUAAGGGAAGAACAAGUGCCGCAGGCAAUGGCGGCACCUUGACGGUACCUUGCGAGAAAGCCACGGCUAACUACGUGCCAGCCGCCGCAGUAA
rnacentral:rRNA from 1 species